rnacentral:rRNA from 1 species
UACGGAGGGUGCGAGCGUUGUCCGGAAUUACUGGGCGUAAAGCGUGCGCAGGCGGCUUUGCAAGACAGAUGUGAAAUCCCCGGGCUCAACCUGGGAACUGCAUCUGUGACUGCAUAGCUAGAGUACGGUAGAGGGGGAUGGAAUUCCGCGUGUAGCAGUGAAAUGCGUAGAUAUGCGGAGGAACACCGAUGGCGAAGGCAAUCCCCUGGACCUGUACUGACGCUCAUGCACGAAAGCGUGGGGAGCAAACAGG